rnacentral:lncRNA from 10 species
ACCUCGAGUAUCGCCAGUCCCAGAGGCAAACGGAAGAGGCCUAGGCAUCCAGAAGUGCGUCCCCAAAGCUCCCGCGCAGGAGGAAUAACCGUCACUUCCGCUUGCCUCUCAUUGGUCAGAGUGAGUCACAUGGUGGCAUGACGUCAAUGGGGGCAGGGCCAGCAUCCUCCCGGGUGCCCGCCCUAAGCCUCAGCGGAGCCGCUGGGAGGUGGAGGCGACUUACCGUGGCAAGCCUGGGUGGGUGGGCAGGUGGGUGCCCCUUACUGCUGAGAUAAGGCUGUUCAGGGAAGCAGCCUCCUGACAGUGCGUGAUGAGCAGGCGUGUAAAUCCCAGUGCUAGCCAGGAUCCAGGAAAAGGCCAGGCUUUCCCACCUGGCAGGACACCGUCCCUCUGCCGCAUAGGACUCUGUCAGCCCGUGGAAAUGGGUGCCACUUUGCAAGCGGGCAAGAUGCUUCUCAGCCCACUCCAGAAUGCCUGUAUCUGCUGACCCUGGAAGUGCUGUCUCCAUCAGGCCCAAAUCCAGAAGUCCAAUCUGCCCCAAGAAGGCCCUCGCUUCUCUCUGGAGUUCAAGAGAACCUUCUGGGUAUUCCAGAUACCUCUGACCAACCAAGGGUGAGAGCAACCCCCACAGAGUGGUGUCACAUUAAAUAUGGCACUUAGAGAAA